rnacentral:lncRNA from 1 species
UAAUUUUAGGGCUAUAUUAUAGAAAACACAUUUAUAAAUAUUUUAUUUUUCACUUUUUCUUUCUAACUUUCAAAAGUUUAUAUUUUACUCUCUCAAUACUUCAGGUUGUUGCAUUUAGUCCCCAUAUGUCAGAUUUCAUCAUUAUUCCGUCUAUUUCUUAUAAUUUAUGCUGAAAAUAUCAUUCAAAAUAAAAAAAAUAUAUUAAAAAUUUUUUUUCUUAAAGAAGAAGUAAAGGUAAUUUAGUUAUUUUGCCAUCUCCAUUAACAUCGUAUCCCUCUAAAAAUAUUUCUAAAAUUUUAUUGGGGGCAAAAAUGUAGGUUAUUAAAAGUUAGGAAAGAAAAUUGAAAAAAAGGGGUAUAAACUGAAGGGUUUUUUGUAAUUUAGUCUAAUUUAGAAAUUAGUUAUAAUGUAAUAAAAUUUGGUAUUUUGGGUUUUGACUAUUGUUACAAUAUUUU